rnacentral:rRNA from 1 species
AUGAACGCUGGCGGCGUGCCUAAUACUUGCAAGUCGAGCGAACAGACGAGGAUCUUGCUCCUCUGACGUUAGCGGCGGACGGGUGAGUAACACGUGGAUAACCUACCUAUAAGACUGGGAUAACUUCGGGAAACCGGAGCUAAUACCGGAUAAUAUAUUGAACCGCAUGGUUCAAUAGUGAAAGACGGUUUUGCUGUCACUUAUAGAUGUAUCCGCGCCGCAUUAGCUAGUUGGUAAGGUAACGGCUUACCAAGGCAACGAUGCGUAGCCGACCUGAGAGGGUGAUCGGCAACACUGGAACUGAGACACGGUCCAGACUCCUACGGGAGGCAGCAGUAGGGAAUCUUCCGCAAUGGGCGAAAGCUUGACGGAGCAACGCCGCGUGAGUGAUGAAGGUCUUCGGAUCGUAAAACUAUGUUAUUAGGGAAGAACAAAUGUGUAAGUAACUAUGCACGUCUUGACGGUACAUAAUCAGAAAGCCACGGCUAACUACGUG